UGAUUGCUGUGCGGCGGCGACGGACGAGGAAGAAGAGAAGGACCGGUGUCUGGGCGGAGACGGCAGCCAUGCGAUCUGCCUGAGCUGCUUGGACUGGCCUUCCGAACGAGCCGAGCAGUUCGUCUACCCAAGGCCGGUGUUCCUGGGUGUGCUGGAAGAACAGGCCGGGCUGUCCUUGGGCUUCAACCGGCCUGCUCCACUGCUGGGCGAGCAUCCGACACCGGCAUGUUCCCGUGCAGCUAAGCCCUCCGAACGGUCUACCCUGUGGCGGGCAGACGUCCCGACCCAGCUGUCGCGCGAGUGGCUCGCCGUGUGACGGGCAUCCGCCCCGGCCUCCAGCACCUGCGCCACUCGCCGCUCCAGAUUCAUCUCUGCGCCUCUUCGUUCCGCCGUUUUCCUGCGCCCUGCCCUGGCCGAAGUGCACGUGGGACGGACCAGUCUGCACCAUAGAUUGCCACAUACGCCAGGCGCACAACGCACCCAUACUCGGUGUUCUUCUUUCGGAGGCGAGACUGUGGUGUUCGCCAUCGACGACGCGGACGGCGCCUAGUUCGUGAAGCGACGGCGCCUGCAGUCCUGGUUGGGACGAAACUUCCUGCUCGUCUUCUGGCGGGACCACGAGGACGCGAGCAAGGGCUGCUGCUUGGUGGCCCAGCUCGUCGGCGACCCCCGCGAGGCGGACAGGUUCACCUAC